AGUGAACGCUGGCGGUAGGCCUAACACAUGCAAGUCGAACGGCAGCACAGGAGAGCUUGCUCUCUGGGUGGCGAGUGGCGGACGGGUGAGGAAUACAUCGGAAUCUACUUUUUCGUGGGGGAUAACGUAGGGAAACUUACGCUAAUACCGCAUACGACCUACGGGUGAAAGCAGGGGACCUUCGGGCCUUGCGCGAUUGAAUGAGCCGAUGUCGGAUUAGCUAGUUGGCGGGGUAAAGGCCCACCAAGGCGACGAUCCGUAGCUUGUCUGAGAGGAUGAGCAGCCACACUGGAACUGGGACACGGUCCAGACUCCUACGGGAGGAAGCAGUGGGGAAUAUUGGACCAUGGGCGCAAGCCUGAUCCAGCCAUACCGCGUGGGUGAAGAAGGCCUUCGGGUUGUAAAGCCCUUUUGUUGGGAAAGAAAUCCAGCUGGCUAAUACCCGGUUGGGAUGACGGUACCCAAAGAAUAAGCACCGGCUAACUUCGUGCCAGCCGCCGCAGUAA
rnacentral:rRNA from 1 species